UAAAAGAUUCCUUUGAGAGUGCUCCUUGGC
rnacentral:piRNA from 1 species